UCUUAUGAUCUGGUUCAAGAUCUGCUUCUGGAGAGCUCAGGCGUAUUUUGGCAGAAUUAUGUUUUCUGGCCUAAAUAGUAGGUGAUAGUAAAAUCACCUAAAUAGUAGACCAUGGAGGCCAUUGUUAAUACUCUAAAUCAGUCAUUUAAACGAUCUUCUAAAACAAGAAAGCCACAAAACAAUCUAACAUUCAGGAAAGGAAGAUGCAGUCAAGAAGAAAAAUUCUUUGUUAUAGCUGCAUUUGACAGGCUCCUUGUUUUACUCAGAUUUAUUUGAAAGAGUGAGGAAAUAAUGCCUGGAAAAUUCAUACAAAUAUGAUAUUAUGUGAGGAUCCAGAAGGGAGAAAUAGAAAAAAAAAUCCAAAACAAACCCCCUAGCAACAACCAAGUAUGAUGCAGAGGCCGAUAGAAGUUUUUUUCAGGGAUU